rnacentral:rRNA from 1 species
AUGAAAACGGGUACUGUGCCAGGACCCGAUGGGUGGCCCGUGGAGUUCUUUAAGAGAUUCUGGCCUUGCUUUAAGCACGUUUUCCACGCAAUAGUUAACGGAUUUGCACUGGGUCAAGUUGACCUCUCCCGCCUUAACUACGAGGCUAUUAGUCUAAUUCCUAAAGUUAAGGGCACGGACAACAUUAAGCAGUUCAGGCCUAUAACGCUUAUCAACGUCCCGUUUAAAAUGUGUGCCAAAGCAUACGCCACUAGGCUGGCCCCCAUUGCUCAAAGGGUAAUCCAAAGGAGUCAGACUGCUUUUCUCAAGGGCGCAAUAUAUGAGGGCCCAAUUGCGCUUCUGGAGAUUGUGCACGAGCUGAAACAUUUGAAGGGGAAAGGGGUUCUGCUCAAACUAGACUUCGAGAAAGCCUAUGAUCGCGUGAACUGGGAGUUCGUGCGGGAGGUGUUGCUCAAGAAGGGCUUCGAGGCGGGUGUAUACAUGAUCUCUGAAUUUGGCAUGCAUACUUCUAGAUGCUUGGCUCUCAUAAUGAUCUCAGUGUCCUCUAGCGAUCUCCUCUUUUUGCAAGGCUUGUUGCCAGUGACAAUCCACCUUGCAACUAUGUUCUCAAUGACAACGAGUACAACAUAG